rnacentral:rRNA from 1 species
AGAGUUUGAUCCUGGCUCAGAUUGAACGCUGGCGGCAUGCCUUACACAUGCAAGUCGAACGGUAACGCGGGGGCAACCCUGGCGACGAGUGGCGAACGGGUGAGUAAUACAUCGGAACAUAUCCAGUAGCGGGGGAUAACCUAUCGAAAGAUGGACUAAUACCGCAUACGAUCUACGGAUGAAAGCAGGGGACCGCAAGGCCUUGCACUAUUGGAGUGGCCGAUGUCGGAUUAGCUAGUUGGUGAGGUAAAGGCUUACCAAGGCGACGAUCCGUAGCUGGUCUGAGAGGACGAUCAGCCACACUGGAACUGAGACACGGUCCAGACUCCUACGGGAGGCAGCAGUGGGGAAUUUUGGACAAUGGGCGCAAGCCUGAUCCAGCCAUGCCGCGUGAGUGAAGAAGGCCUUCGGGUUGUAAAGCUCUUUCGGUGAAGACGAAACGGUUAGCGCUAAUAACGCUGACUAAUGACGGUACUCACAGAAGAAGCACCGGCUAACUACGAGCCAGCAGCCGCGGUAAUACGUAGGGUGCAGGCGUUAAUCGGAAUUACUGGGCGUAAAGCGUGCGCAGGCGGUUUGCUAAGACAGGUGUGAAAUCCCCGAGCUUAACUUGGGAAUUGCGCUUGUAACCGGCAAGCUAGAGUGUGGCAGAGGGGGGUGGAAUUCCACGUGUAGCAGUGAAAUGCGUAGAUAUGUGGAGGAACACCGAUGGCGAAGGCAGCCCCCUGGGUUAACACUGACGCUCAUGCACGAAAGCGUGGGGAGCAAACAGGAUUAGAUACCCUGGUAGUCCACGCCCUAAACUAUGUCAACUAGUUGUCGGGGAAGAAAUUCCUUGGUAACGAAGCUAACGCGUGAAGUUGACCGCCUGGGGAGUACGGCCGCAAGGUUAAAACUCAAAGGAAUUGACGGGGACCCGCACAAGCGGUGGAUUAUGUUGAUUAAUUCGAUGCAACGCGAAAAACCUUACCUACCCUUGACAUGCUAGGAAGCCCGCAGAGAUGUGGGUGUGCCCGAAAGGGAACCUAGACACAGGUGCUGCAUGGCUGUCGUCAGCUCGUGUCGUGAGAUGUUGGGUUAAGUCCCGCAACGAGCGCAACCCUUGCCAUUAGUUGCUACAUUCAGUUGGGCACUCUAAUGGGACCGCCGGUGACAAACCGGAGGAAGGUGGGGAUGACGUCAAGUCCUCAUGGCCCUUAUGGGUAGGGCUUCACACGUAAUACAAUGGUCGGUACAGAGGGCUGCCAACCCGCAAGGGGGAGCUAAUCCCAGAAAGCCGAUCGUAGUCCGGAUUGUAGUCUGCAACUCGACUGCAUGAAGCCGGAAUCGCUAGUAAUCGCGGAUCAGCAUGUCGCGGUGAAUACGUUCCCGGGUCUUGUACACACCGCCCGUCACACCAUGGGAGUGGGUUCCACCAGAAGUAGUUAGCCUAACCGCAAGGAGGGCGAUUACCACGGUGAUUCAUGACUGGGGUGAAGUCGUAACAAGGUA